rnacentral:lncRNA from 1 species
UGAGCUGUGGGUUCUAGGGUUUCAACUCAAGAUUUUGUGAGAAGAAAAUACAAAAAUGAGUCUUGUUCAAUCUUCCACACCACCACCUCCUCAUAAAGCUUCAUCUUUUGAUUCGAAAGAGUUCAAGAGAUCUGAAGAAAGGAGCUUGGAUCAACCAUCCAAAGCCUUCAAUGAGAGCUAGCACUCCCGUGAAGGAAGAUCCGAUCAGGGCUUCGAGUGGAAGAUCUAUAGAGGUCGAAUGACC